GAUGAACGCUAGCGGCAGGCCUAAUACAUGCAAGUCGAACGGGAUUGCGGUGUGGCUUGCUACACUGCAUGAGAGUGGCGCACGGGUGCGUAACGCGUGAGCAACCUACCCAUAUCAGGGGGAUAGCCCGGAGAAAUCCGGAUUAACACCGCAUGGGACAGUAUUACCGCAUGGUAUAGCUGUUAAAUAUUUAUAGGAUAUGGAUGGGCUCGCGUGACAUUAGCUAGUUGGUGGGGUAACGGCCCACCAAGGCGACGAUGUCUAGGGGCUCUGAGAGGAGAAUCCCCCACACUGGUACUGAGACACGGACCAGACUCCUACGGGAGGCAGCAGUAAGGAAUAUUGGUCAAUGGGCGGAAGCCUGAACCAGCCAUGCCGCGUGCAGGACGACUGCCCUAUGGGUUGUAAACUGCUUUUGUACGGGAAUAACCCUCUCUACGAGUAGAGAGCUGAACGUACCGUAAGAAUAAGGAUCGGCUAACUCCGUGCCAGCCGCCGCGGUAA
rnacentral:rRNA from 1 species